ACUUCGGCCGAAGAUUCCCGAAUCAUAUCUUAGAGUAUUCAUCCUCUCAUAACGAGGAUUAGAGAUCCCUUGUUACGCAUUCACUUGCCUCCAUGGCUAAGUGCCUUAACCCCAACUAUGCCGUGGACACUCGCGAAUGGAGUGACUUUGACAUAAUCAAAGAUCAAGGACCUAACCACAAGACAACUAUGAUGCCUCAGGUCAAAGGACUACUUACAUUAUUCCAACCAUUAGAGUUACUUGCUUGACAUGUGAGUAGACCUCCAUGCAAGUACUCUCGUUCGAUUGUGUUCAGUGAACUCAUUCCCUUAAUGAGCACCUACAUACUUGUCUUAGUGUCACUACACGAAUGGGAUGAGUGAAGGAUGAUUUUGUGAAAACAUGUUCAUUUGAGCAACAUCAUAUAGCAUGCAAUUAACAAUUAAAGGCGGAAUCAUGCUUUCAUGCACUCAAAAACAAAACAUUACCCAUGAAAUUCAAAGCCUAGUAGAUUGGUGAACCAAGACUCAACUCAAAAACAAAGUGAGUUGAGAAAUUAUACCUUUGUAGAUUCCUCUUUGCAUAAGCAAAGACUAAUCACCCAAAGAGAGGGCCUUCAUUCCUUACAUCUAAAAUCUAUGGAUUUGGAUGGAUGAAAAGGUUUCUCCAAGUUCCCAAAAUUGAGAACCUCUAAGUCUCCACACCAAUGAGAGAUUGGAGAAGAAAUGAGUGACCUUGGAGGAGUAGUAUGGCUAGAUACACCCUCCAAGGGGGCCGGCCUCCUAGAGAGAAAAGGAGAGACAUGUUCUCUCCAAUUUUCUCCAAAAAGAACCCUGAAUGAAUUUUGGCUAUAAAGUCAUAUUUAUACCUUAAUUCAUUGGAGUGGCAAACUUGUAAAUAAGUCCAAAACCCACUCCAAAACUAAAUGGCCGGCCAUUGGGAUAUUAUUGGGCUAAUUGGGCCUUUGUGAACCAUUAUUCAUUAAGUUGUCAUACAACUUAAGUCAAUGGGCUUGACGUUCGAAGCCCAUUAGGCCUUAAGGUCCAAAACUAUCCCGAGGUCUUUAACGAACUUAUUCGUUUGAUUAAUUAACAUAUUAAUUAAUCCUUGCCAAAAAUAAUUAAACCAUUUAAUUAUUCUUACUCAUUUCGAUUGUUUCUUCAAUCUCCACCUUACACGGUGUACGAUCCAUUAGGUUCCUUUUAGCGAGGCAGUGGGCGAUUAAAAUCAUUUCACAUCGAUUGUGAAUUGAAACUUACUUUCAAUUCUCCCUUUAGUGAUUAUACACGUUUAGGGCUUCCACAAACCAUGAGUGACACCUAGCAGCAUAUCAUGGUUACCCAAGCUAAUCAGAAGAGGUGGAGAACCUAUUCAGUUUAGGACUACAAAUGCAAUACGGUCUUUCUCUAAUACAAUACUCUUGACCACAUUGUUUGGUUUGAUAGUUUAUUUAUUCAUGUCUACUAUCCAAUGUGAUUCGUGUGCUUAUAUGAUUACCUUGAAUGUGAUUUGGAACGACUUCCUAAAUCUCAUUCAUACUCUGGCGCCAGAGAUUCUAAAUCAUAUCAUAGAGUAUUCUCCCUCAAACGGUUUGAAGGUUAGAGAUCCCUUGUUGCGCAUUCACUUGUCUCCAUGGCUAAGUGGCUUAACCCCAACGAUGCCGUGGACACCCUCCAAAUGGAGUGACUUUGACAUAAUCAAAGAUCAAGGACUUAACCACAAGACAACUGUGAUGCCUCAGGUCAAAUGACUACUUUGCAUUAUCCCAACCAUAAGUUCUCAUGUGACAUGAAUAUGAGAACUCUUCGUUAAUCGUGUUCAGUGAACUCAUUCUCUAUUGAGCACCUACGUACUUGUCUUGAUGUCACACACACCAAUGACUCGAGACUAGUCACUCUCCCUGAAAGAAGACACAACACGUACUGAUCUUAACGGACUGUCAAUGCCCAAUUGGCAAUCCUAU
rnacentral:lncRNA from 1 species